rnacentral:rRNA from 1 species
UACGUAGGUGGUUUUAUAAGUCAGGUGUAAAAGGCAAUAGCUCAACUAUUGUAAGCAUUUGAAACUGUAAAACUUGAGUACAGGAGAGGUAAGUGGAAUUCCUAGUGUAGCGGUGAAAUGCGUAGAUAUUAGGAGGAACACCAGUGGCGAAGGCGACUUACUGGACUGUAACUGACACUGAGGUACGAAAGCGUGGGGAGCAAACAGGAUUAGAUACCCUGGUAGUCC